UCGACUGUUUAACAAAAACAUUUCUUUUUUGAGGCAUAAAAAGUAAAACCUGCCCACUGAAAUUUUAAAGGGCCGCGGUAUACUGACCGUGCUAAGGUAGCAUAAUCAUUAGCCUCUUAAUUAGAGGAUGGCAUGAAUGGUUAAACACACAUAACUUUUUUUGUGGAAAAAUAAUGAAUUUCAGCUUAAAGUGAAAAUUCUUUAAUUGUGAAAAAAGACGAUAAGACCCUUUAGAGCUUAAUAUACUUUUUUCAUAAUCUUUAUGGGGGGGUAAAGACUAUGAAAAAAGUAUAUUUAGUUGGGGCAACUUUAGAAUAAUUAUAACUUCUGAUAAUAUAUUAAAACUUCUUUUUUUAAAAAUUAUAAAAAGUUACCUUAGGGAUAACAGCGUAAUUGCUUUUAAGAGUUCUUAUCGAUAAAGCAGUUUGCGACCUCGAUGUUGAAUUAAAAUUUUUUUAAGGGGCAGUACUUUUAUAAAAUAGUCUGUUCGACUAUAAAAUUUUUACAUGAUUUGAGUUCAGACCGGA
rnacentral:rRNA from 1 species